AUGACUGACUUCCCAUCACACCGAAAAACACCUGGGAAUCCUGUGAUUUGUAGUCUGGAAUGCCACCAAAUCUCUCUGACAGAAAAGGCAGAUCCACUUGACUGCACCAGCUGUGGUGGUUACAGACCAAUGACUGAAGUUUCAUCAAGAAUGUGUUGUUUACAGGAAAGAUGACUAUGGAUAAAGGAUACUACUAAAGAUGUAUUCAACCUGUGAAACAGUUUGGAGCAGAAUGAGAAAAUCCCAAAUAUUUGAAUGUCUAUUAAAGUCCUGAAUCUAAUUUGCAACAUUAUUCCAUGGGUACCACAGUGGAUUUACAUCAACAAACUGUGUAACUAUGGCAACUCAAGCCAUGUUGAUUUAAACUUAUAACUUAUUAAUAAGGAUUCAUAUUAGUCUCACCAGAGCCUCUGUUGGAUUAGUUAUAGGUUAAGUCUAUCCAUAAUCUUAGACAAAUUGCAUCCUAGCUAUUUUUAAUCAUGGGGUGUGUUUUCUUUUUAAAUGUUACUUUGCAGUUUAUUCAUGAGGUCACUUUGUCAUAAUCAAUGUGGCUCAUUUUAUCUGCAAUCAGUCAUUUCAAAACUCAAACCAAUGUAAUCUAUUUUCUGUAAAAACAGAAAAAUCCUAUGCAUUUUCCAGUGAUUUGUAACAUGGAAGGGUGGGUUGGGGAACAAAUGAUAGUCUUGCAAGUUGGGAGAAAUCCAGAAAGGAGGAGCAAAUUCAUUAAUAGGCUCUAGCAGUAUGGCCUCAAGCUUCUUUGAGUCUGGUUUUGUUGCUUUUUCUUGUGA